UACAGAGGUCUCAAGCGUUGUUCGGAUUCAUUGGGCGUAAAGGGUGCGUAGGCGGCUGCUCAAGUCGAAUGUGAAAACUCGAGGCUCAACCUCGAGCCUGCAUUCGAUACUGGGCGGCUAGAGUCUGGUAGGGGGAUCUGGAAUUCCUGGUGUAGCGGUGGAAUGCGCAGAUAUCAGGAGGAACACCGGUGGCGAAGGCGGGAUCCUGGGCCAGUACUGACGCUGAGGAGCGAAAGCGUGGGGAGCGAACCGG
rnacentral:rRNA from 1 species